UACGUAGGGUGCGAGCGUUGCCCGGAUUUAUUGGGCGUAAAGGGCGCGUAGGCGGCCACGCACGUCCGUUGUGAAAUCGCCCGGCUCAACUGGGCGGGGUCGGCGGAUACGGCGUGGCUGGAGCAAGCUAGGGGGCAAUGGAAUUCCCGGUGUAGUGGUGGAAUGCGUAGAUAUCGGGAGGAACACCAGUGGCGAAGGCGGUUGCCUGGAGCUUUGCUGACGCUGAGGAGCGAAAGCAUGGGGAGCGAACAGG
rnacentral:rRNA from 1 species